UGGGGAAUUUUGCGCAAUGGGCGGAAGCCUGACGCAGCAACGCCGCGUGGAGGAUGAAGGUCUUUGGAUUGUAAACUCCUGUCAGCAGGGAAAAAGCGAGUCGACCUCAUACGUCGGUGAGUUGAUUGUACCUGCAGAGGAAGCCCCGGCUAACUCUGUGCCAGCAGCCGCGGUAAUACAGAGGGGGCGAGCGUUAUUCGGAAUUAUUGGGCGUAAAGGGCGCGUAGGCGGCUUUGCAAGUGACGGGUGAAAGCCCUCGGCUUAACCGAGGAACUGCCUGUCAGACUGUGAGGCUUGAGACCGGGAGAGGUGAGUGGAAUUCCCAGUGUAGCGGUGAAAUGCGUAGAUAUUGGGAGGAACACCAGUGGCGAAGGCGGCUCACUGGACCGGAACUGACGCUGAGGCGCGAAAGCGUGGGGAGCAAACAGGAUUAGAUACCCUGGUAGUCCACGCCGUAAACGAUGAGUGCUUGGUGUAGCGGGUAUCGACCCCUGCUGUGCCGAAGUCAACACAUUAAGCACUCCGCCUGGGGAGUACGGUCGCAAGACUGA
rnacentral:rRNA from 1 species